rnacentral:rRNA from 1 species
CCUACGGGUGGCAGCAGUAGGGAAUAUUGCUCAAUGGGGGAAACCCUGAUGCAGCAACGCCGCGUGGAGGAUGAAGGUUUUCGGAUUGUAAACUCCUUUUGUUAGAGAAGAUAAUGACGGUAUCGAACGAAUAAGCACCGGCUAACUCCGUGCCAGCAGCCGCGGUAAUACGGAGGGUGGAAGCGUUCCUCGGAAUCACUGGGCGUAAAGUGCGCGUAGGCGGGAUAGCGAGUCAGAUGUGAAAUCCGAUGGCUUAACCAUAGAACUGCAUUGGAAACUGUUAAUCUAGAGUAUGGGAGAGGUAAGUGGAAUUCUUGGUGUAGGGGUAAAAUGCGUAGAGAUCAGGAAGAAUACUCAUUGCGAAGGCAACCUGCUAGAACAUAACUGACGCUGAGGCGCGAAAGCGUGGGGAGCAAACAGGAUUAGAUACCCGUGUAGUC